rnacentral:rRNA from 1 species
AUGGCCGAUCUUCCUACAGUCGAUGGCGACCAAGAGGAGGAGACACCGAUCCCCCGCUCCAUAUCCUGGCUCCCUCCUCACAGCCCCCACGACUGCGGCGAUCCUCCCCCAAAGUCGGUCCUCCUCGACACCCUGGUCUACGCCGACGACCGCACCAACGACUACACCGCCGAGGGCUUCACCAGCAACGGCCACGCCAUAUCCCUCACCUUCUGGCCCGCGCAUCCGCCGCUCAUCUCCUACUUCACCGUCCACCUCCCCACCCUCCUGCAGGACGGACCCGCCACCUCGCUCGACCUUCUGCCACGCCUUGUCCGCACCGACGGCGACCUCGCCCUCUUCCGCGUCAUGAUCGGCCCUUCGCCCAGCAAUCGGCACCACAUCAACUACAUCGUCUACCGUGUCCGUGCCGGCUGCAGCAAGCUUGAGGUGCUCCCCUCCCACCCCACCCGCUUGUUCGCCGACUGGUCACUUGCCCUCCUGCGCUGCCGCUGCCCCGACGACGGCAGGUUCUUGGUCGCCAAUCUCCGUUCGAUUUACUCCCGUGGGCAGUACGCCCUCGACCUGUUCGACUCCAGGUCAGGCACAUGGAGCACUAGAUCGAUGCAUGCUGAGUCGCCAGAGGACUGCUACUUCCGUACUCCAACCAAGGUGAUCGCCCUCGGUGGCGAUCGUGGUACAAUCGGCUGGGUCGGCCUCUGGCAUGGCAUCCUCAUCUGUGAUCUGCUCCCCAGCGGCGGCGACGAUGACGACGUCCUCCGCUUCAUCCCUUUGCCCGUGCUGACGGCGCCCAACAAGAUGAUCCCAGGCCCUUUGUGUUGUGACCGGGACGUCUCCGUCGGCAGCGACGGCUGCAUCAAGUACUCGGAGGUGUGGGCUCAUCCCGUGCCCGGCUCGCGGAAUCGCGCCACCUACGUCUCCGAGGACUGGGGUGCUGCCAUACUGACAUGGCUGGAGCCCAAGAAGAAGUGGCACAUCGACCUCAAGCUCAAAGCCUCGGACAUCAUCGUGGACGAGACUCACUCCCGGUUGCUUCCUCAGCUUGAUGUCAAGGCCACAGGGAAGAGUCUCAGGCCUGAGAAGAGUCCAGCCUUGAGUAGACUCCACACAGGGCAUCCUGCUCUCAGCUUGCAUGAUGAUGAUGUUGUUUACAUCAUGGCCAAGGUUGACCACAGGGACGACGACUUGUGGAUGCUUUCUGUUGACAUGAGGAACAAGACUCUGAAAGGAGUGGCUGGUCUCACCAGUAGAUUCAUGUACUUGCAAAGUGACCUCUCCAGCCAUCUGGUGCCCACAAGCAAAAGCAAAAGGUCCUCACGCAGGGGGGAACGGAAACAUUUGCUGCGAGUUGCGGAACAAGAAGAACAGGAGCUGACGAUACUCGAGCCUCGAGUUAUUUCAGUAAGGUAG